AUUAUCGAUAACAAAUCCUUUUCUACGGAGGAGCGACGAGCUCUAACAAAGCCGAGGAUUGAAGGAUACACCUAUAGAUACACGUAUAUUAGAUUUGGUACAUGUUCGGCCGUUAUCGAAUAUACGCAAAUGUUUUUGUACUUGCAAAAAUAAUAUCAAAAAAAUAGCCAAAAAGUCGAACUCACGCGGUUAAAAUCACUGCAUUAAGUAACUAUACGUACACCU